UCACACAAUAAUCUCGCUGCAGUAGUUGGUUGUUGAUAUUUUGCUCUGAAUAACUGGUUCUUGUGAGUUAUACAUGAUUAAUUAGUACAUUGAUUAAUUUUUCAUAUAAUAUAAUAUGCCAUCAUUAAUUAUCUUUAGAAUCCCACAAAGUUUGUUGACCCAAAUCAUCGAAUGUUCCAAGCUUGAUUCGAUUUGUUUAAAUUCCGCCACCAUUGAAUUUGGCGUCAGAUUGAGCAUUUUUUUGGGGCUUCGGUUUUGUCAAUUCAACACACUUUUUUCAAGAUAUUCACUGCGCACCAGUGUCUUGUCGGUGGGUUUCAACUUUGCCGUCAUCGAUUAGGAACCCGCCAUUUGUCAACAACAAACGGCGCCGGAUUAUUCAGAUGGUUUAGUUGCAAAUCUGGACCAUUUUCGCCAGUGACCACCGACGGCCUCUUGUUGCUGAGGAAUCGCAGGGAGUUAGUCCAAUUUUGCAGAACUAGGAUGAGAAUUGCUCAAAGUAUGCGAAUGAAUCUUCAGAGUUGCCGCUUGGAUUGAUCUAUAUCAGGAUCUUGAGGCUUAAUUUAACUUCAUAAAUUCAAUGACACGGCAACACAUUUAAUUUCGGGGAAGAAGGACGAAAAUUUCACAAUCACGGGCUGGCCAUCGGGCAUUUCUACUUGCUCGAAGCUGCUUUGUCGAUGUGGCUAUCUUCUUGGAAAAUUGAAUUUAAGAUAU